rnacentral:rRNA from 1 species
UACAGAGGGUGCAAGCGUUGUUCGGAAUUAUUGGGCGUAAAGGGCGCGUAGGCGGUGCGGUAAGUCUCUAGUGAAAUCUCCGGGCUCAACUCGGAGCCUGCUAGGGAAACUGCCGUGCUUGAGUGUGGGAGAGGUGAGUGGAAUUCCCGGUGUAGCGGUGAAAUGCGUAGAUAUCGGGGAGGAACACCUGUGGCGAAAGCGGCUCACUGGACCACAACUGACGCUGAGGCGCGAAAGCUAGGGGAGCAAACAGG